AUUGAACGCUGGCGGCAGGCUUAACACAUGCAAGUCGAGCGGGGGAAGGUAGCUUGCUACCGGACCUAGCGGCGGACGGGUGAGUAAUGCUUAGGAAUCUGCCUAUUAGUGGGGGACAACAUCUCGAAAGGGAUGCUAAUACCGCAUACGUCCUACGGGCGAAAGCAGGGGAUCUUCGGACCUUGCGCUAAUAGAUGAGCCUAAGUCGGAUUAGCCAGUUGGUGGGGUAAAGGCCUACCAAGGCGACGAUCUGUAGCGGGUCUGAGAGGAUGAUCCGCCACACUGGGACUGAGACACGGCCCAGACUCCUACGGGAGGCAGCAGUGGGGAAUAUUGGACAAUGGGGGGAACCCUGAUCCAGCCAUGCCGCGUGUGUGAAAAAGGCCUUAUGGUUGUAAAGCACUUUAAGCGAGGAGGAGGCUACUCUAGUUAAUACCUAGGGAUAGUUGACGUUACUCGCAGAAUAAGCACCGGCUAACUCUGUGCCAGCCGCCGCCGUAA
rnacentral:rRNA from 1 species